rnacentral:rRNA from 2 species
GUUAGGGAAGAACCAAGUACCGUUCGAAUAGGGCCGGUACCUUGACGGUACCUAACCAGAAAGCCACGGCUAACUACGUGCCAGCAGCCGCGGUAAUACGUAGGUGGCAAGCGUUGUCCGGAAUUAUUGGGCGUAAAGGGCUCGCAGGCGGUUUCUUAAGUCUGAUGUGAAAGCCCCCGGCUCAACCGGGGAGGGUCAUUGGAAACUGGGGAACUUGAGUGCAGAAGAGGAGAGUGGAAUUCCACGUGUAGCGGUGAAAUGCGUAGAGAUGUGGAGGAACACCAGUGGCGAAGGCGACUCUCUGGUCUGUAACUGACGCUGAGGAGCGAAAGCGUGGGGAGCGAACAGGAUUAGAUACCCUGGUAGUCCACGCCGUAAACGAUGAGUGCUAAGUGUUAGGGGGUUUCCGCCCCUUAGUGCUGCAGCUAACGCAUUAAGCACUCCGCCUGGGGAGUACGGUCGCAAGACUGAAACUCAAAGGAAUUGACGGGGGCCCGCACAAGCGGUGGAGCAUGUGGUUUAAUUCGAAGCAACGCGAAGAACCUUACCAGGUCUUGACAUCCUCUGACAAUCCUAGAGAUAGGACGU